AACAUAGAAAAACACACAAUAAAAUAUAAUUGGAAGGCUUAACUCAAUCAAAAAACGUAAAUAAACACACUAUGAAUGAAUAAAUUUGAUCUGUGAUAUCUGAAUGCAAAUGCACAGUUAAUAAAAUAUUAGGGACAAACAUUCAAGGCCAAAAAGCAAACAAACAGGUCAAAACAAAGCCAUGGCAAGACCCCACCGCGAA
rnacentral:lncRNA from 1 species